rnacentral:rRNA from 1 species
UACGUAGGGGGCAAGCGUUGUUCGGAUUUACUGGGCGUAAAGGGCGCGUAGGCGGCAAUUCAAGUCAUCUGUGAAAUCUCCGGGCUUAACUCGGAACGGUCAGAUGAUACUGCUUUGCUAGAGUGCAGAAGGGGCAAUCGGAAUUCUCGGUGUAGCGGUGAAAUGCGUAGAAGAUCGGGAGGAACACCCGUGGCGGAAGGCGGCCCAUCUGGACCAGCACUGACGCUGAGGCACGAAAGCGUGGGGAGCAAACAGG